ACUGAUCACCCCCUUGUUCCAGUUUUUGACUAAGCAAAACUAUCUUUCGGAAAUGGCUUGUAAGAUUUUCCAUCAUUAACUUCCGGUAUGAUCCUUGAUGCAAACCCAACUUUGGAGUUCACCUCUUUGCCACACAGAUCACUUCCUUUUCUAUGCGUUCUGAUGGGACACAUGAUCAGAACUGAAAACCCCCAACCACUGUGAGACGUAGAAUAAUGGUUCCCCAAAGAGGUCCAUGUCCUAAUUCCUGGCACCUGCUGAGAUGUCACCUCACAUAGCAAACAGGCUUUUGCAGAUGCAAUUGAGGGCCUCAUAAUGGGGAGAUUAUCCUGAAUCAUUUGAAUGGCCCAAUGCAACCACAAGGUCCUUAAGAGGCAGAAAUGGAAAGACAGGGAGGGAGAUGGGACCGAAGAAGGAAGGUCCACGUGAUGGGAUGUAGGGACUCUGCUGUGGUUGGCUUUGAAGAUGGAGGAAUGGGACCGUGAGCCUCCAGAGCCUGGGAAAGACAAAGAUUCUUCUCAAAGUCUCCAGGAAAAAAAAAAAAAAGGUCUACUGACUCUUGCUUUUAAGCCCGAGGCUCUCAUCUGCCUUCUAAUCUACAAAACUGGAAGGCUUUUCCCUGCUGUGCUAACAAUUGGAUUUCUACAACAUUGGAUGGAAAU